AUCUUCCACAAUGGGCGAAAGCCUGAUGGAGCAACGCCGCGUGAGUGAAGAAGGAUUUCGGUUCGUAAAACUCUGUUGCAAGGGAAGAACAAGUACAGUAGUAACUGGCUGUACCUUGACGGUACCUUAUUAGAAAGCCACGGCUAACUACGUGCCAGCAGCCGCGGUAAUACGUAGGUGGCAAGCGUUGUCCGGAAUUAUUGGGCGUAAAGCGCGCGCAGGUGGUUUCUUAAGUCUGAUGUGAAAGCCCACGGCUCAACCGUGGAGGGUCAUUGGAAACUGGGAGACUUGAGUGCAGAAGAGGAUAGUGGAAUUCCAAGUGUAGCGGUGAAAUGCGUAGAGACUUGGAGGAACACCAGUGGCGAAGGCGACUAUCUGGUCUGUAACUGACACUGAGGCGCGAAAGCGUGGGGAGCAAACAGG
rnacentral:rRNA from 1 species